UUGAUGGCGAGUGGCGAACGGGUGAGUAACGCGUAGGAAUAUGCCUUAAAGAGGGGGAUAACACGAGGAAACUCGUGCUAAUACCGCGUAAGCUCUACGGAGUAAAGUAUGGGACCUUCGGGCCAUACGCUUUAAGAAUAGCCUGCGUCCGAUUAGCUAGUUGGUGGGGUAAAGGCCUACCAAGGCGAUGAUCGGUAGCUGGUCUGAGAGGAUGGACAGCCACACUGGGACUGAGACACGGCCCAGACUCC
rnacentral:rRNA from 1 species